rnacentral:tRNA from 1 species
ACACUGUUAGUGUAGUGGCAACACUCUAUCGCAAAGCGGAGUGUACAACACCCCCCGCAUUUCGCGCGGAAUCGCAGGUUCGAGUCCUGCACAGUGUA